rnacentral:rRNA from 1 species
GUAGGUGGCAAGCGUUGUCCGGAAUUAUUGGGCGUAAAGCGCGCGCAGGCGGUUCUUUAAGUCUGAUGUGAAAGCCCACGGCUCAACCGUGGAGGGUCACUGGAAACUGGAGAACUUGAGUACAGAAGAGGAAAGCGGAAUUCCACGUGUAGCGGUGAAAUGCGUAGAGAUGUGGAGGAACACCAGUGGCGAAGGCGGCUUUCUGGUCUGUAACUGACGCUGAGGCGCGAAAGCGUGGGGAGCAAACAGGGAUUAGAUACCCUGGUAGUCCACGCCGUAAACGAUGAGUGCUAAGUGUUAGGGGGGUUUCCGCCCCCUUAGUGCUGCAGCUAACGCAUUAAGCACUCCGCCUGGGGAGUACGGCCGCAAGGCUG